AAGACUUCCGUUUCGAAAUAUAUAUAGAGAGAGACUUUUAGAAGUUUAGUAUUCUAGCUUAAUCACUUUCAAUAAGUGUAGUGAUUCCCCUAGAUAGACUGUAGUUCACUUCGGGAACAUUGCAGCGCUACUAAACAAUUCAAGAGCAAUGUAUAACAUUGUUGUGUUUGUAAUGGUGCUUGGGGUGUCCCUAGCCAACAACUGCGGUGAUGCGCCAGACACAAAUGGUUGCAAUGCUUGGGACAUUGUUCCUUACAAGCACAAAUUUACACCAGCUUGCAACAAGCACGAUGUCUGUUAUUCAUGUGGAGACACAUUCGGCGUAAGCAAAGAUCGAUGUAAUAAGGCAUUCAAGAAUGACAUGGUUAAAAUUUGUAACGGCUGGUGGUGCAGAAGAUGGGCUGGAAUUUAUUACAAAGCUGUUGACUGGUUUGGUCAUGGUUACAAAA